UUAAGUUCAGCGGGUAGUCCUACCUGAUUUGAGAUCAAACGUUAAAAAGCUGUCCCUCGCAGAGGAGAGACGUUUAUGAGCCGCAGCGAACCUCCGUUGCCGAAGGUUACCUGGUGGGGAGACCACAAGCGUAGAUAGUUAUCACACCCGUGACGCCACCAAACACUGGCAAGCUGAUUUGUUUGAGAGGAGCCGACAAC
rnacentral:misc_RNA from 1 species